rnacentral:rRNA from 1 species
UACGUAUGGGGCAAGCGUUAUCCGGAUUUACUGGGUGUAAAGGGAGCGCAGGCGGCCUGGCAAGCCUGAUGUGAAAUACCGGGGCCCAACCCCGGGGCUGCAUUGGGAACUGCCAGGCUGGAGUGCCGGAGAGGCAGGCGGAAUUCCUAGUGUAGCGGUGAAAUGCGUAGAUAUUAGGAGGAACACCAGUGGCGAAGGCGGCCUGCUGGACGGUGACUGACGCUGAGGCUCGAAGGCGUGGGGAGCAAACAGG